rnacentral:sRNA from 1 species
UGACUUGUCUGUGUGUCUGCCUACCACG